UUCAGUUGUGCUGUUAUGGCUGCCUCAGUGUCCUAAAAACGUUCACCUUUCAUUAUCAUUUUAACUUUGGAGAUGAGCCAGAAGUCGCAUGGUACUAAAUCCGGUGAAAAAGCUGGCAGAGAACCUAACCUACUGUAAUGCUUCUAGGAGACUACUUUUCUGUUGGAUGGCAUUUGGCAGCAGCAUUCACCAUAAUUUUAUCACAACUUCUAAAGACACUGAUGAAAGACUUCCAGAACUGCUUCAGAAAGUGGCAAGAACAAUGGGGCCUUCUUUGCUGACUGUGAGUGAGGAAUACUUCAAAAAGUAUAUUCCACUUGACCUCAGUCUGAAGGAUACACAAGAUUUUACCAAUGAGAAGGAGAAUAACGGUGUUGCUGAGAGGUAAAACAGAAUGUUCACUUCUGUAUCUUCAGUGUGGUAGGACAGAGGCCUGGAGAACUGUGAGAACCUAGGUUGGUCUGUGAGCAAGGUAUACCAUGAAACACAGAAAGAGGC
rnacentral:lncRNA from 1 species